GUAAAUCAUCUUUUUUUUUUCACUGAACUUUUCUAUAUAUAAAACAAAGUACCAAAUUUUACAAGGUCCAAAAGAAGACAAAACUUAAACACUAAAUGGCCCAAACAGCCCACAAAAUACAACAAAGACCUAGACGAGGCCGACUAAAGCCCAAACAAGAGGGCAACGAGAACAUCACAUAUGGGACUAUAGGAACGACCCAAACAGAAGGCCCAUUUGUUAAAGUCCUACGGCUUAAACGGUGAUGGCUGAGUCAACAAGAAAACCAAAACACGUGUCUAGAAAAUACAGCUCUCACCGAUUCAACGCCGACAGAGAAUCUUCGCCGGAGAUCCGAUCAACCGGAAGACCAAAGCUUCAACAGGUCGAAGGGAUAACAGCUCAACUGAGCACCCGUCGCAAAGAAAACCCAAGGCGAUUGAGAUGAACAACAUAUCUUCACUUCCAAACCAGAGAAGAAACGAUUGCAUUCAAUCGAUCUUUGAACACCAGAUUAUCCUGGACAAGCAACUCAUACAUCUUUAAAGAUAUAAAUAAGUUUGAAGAUGCGAAAACCCUAACCAAGGGGAGGAUAAAACAAUCUGGUGUUUAGAUCGAAAUUCAUUCGAAUCCCAGAAUAAGCACAGAGAAGCGAAGAAGACAAAAUAAAACAAAAGUUCCGGACAGAAUCCAGAGCUAAACAACAUCGAAAAAAAUCGAUCGUUAGCAAGAGCCGGACGAAGUCAUCGAAAGAGAAGAUGAAUCGCCGGAGACAAAAACCGGCCGGCUACACCAAAAUAUGGAGAGCCGCCAGAGACAAAAACCGACCACAUCUUGCUGAGAAAGCCACUUUGUGUCGGAAGCAGAGUACCGGAAAAAGAUCCGGACAUGUUAGCACUCUCUCUUGUGGUAAUCAUCUACUGACUACAUUCAAUUAAUGCGGUUUACAUUUUCAUAAAAAGGCUUGGUCAACUCUAAAACGUACACGUGUUAUUGCCGU
rnacentral:lncRNA from 1 species